AAACAACACUGCAAGAAUCAACUCUCUUUCAUACCCUCAUAACUGUAAACCUACUUUUGCCCCACCUAUAUAUCAUCAAGUAUUAUGACUACAUAAAUGUAAAAGUAUAUAAAAAGUAUGUAAAAUAUCAAUAUAUGUACAUAUAUAUACCUAUAUAUGCAAUUGUGUGUAUGAGUGAAUACACACAGGCAUGAAUGCACAAAUUAUUUACUGUGCAAGAGAUUCACAUACAUUAUAUAAUUUACUCCUCAAAAAAUAUUACAAAAAUAUCAAAAACUCUGUUUUUUAAAAAGAGAAGAUGGAGUUCGGUACUUUUAUCCAUGAAUGAGAGACAACAGAACACUAAGUUUUUCAGAGCACGGGCUCUGGAGCCAAGCAACCUGGACCCAGAUCCAGCUCUACCGCCUCCUGUAUAAAAUGGGGAUAAAAA